CCUACGGGGGACAGCAGUGGGGAAUAUUGCACAAUGGGGGGAACCCUGAUGCAGCGACGCCGCGUGAGUGAAGAAGUACUUCGGUAUGUAAAGCUCUAUCAGCAGGGAAGAAGAUGACGGUACCUGAAUAAGAAGCCCCGGCUAACUACGUGCCAGCAGCCGCGGUAAUACGGAGGGGGCAAGCGUUAUCCGGAUUUACUGGGUGUAAAGGGAGCGUAGACGGCAGGGCAAGUCUGGAGUGAAAGCCCGGGGCCCAACCCCGGGACUGCUUUUGAAACUGCCAUGCUAGAGUGCUGGAGUGGUAAGCGGAAUUCCUCGUGUAGCGGUGAAAUGCGUAGAUAUUAGGAGGAACCCCAGUGGCGACGGCGGCUUACUGGACUGUAACUGACGUUGAGGCUCGAAAGCGUGGGGAGCAAACAGGAUUAGAUACCCUUGUAGUC
rnacentral:rRNA from 1 species